UUUGAUCCUGGCUCAGAACGAACGCUGGCGGCGUGGAUAAGACAUGCAAGUCGCACGGAGAAAAGAUAGUUUACUAGCUUUUCUGAGUGGCGCACGGGUGAGUAACACGUGAGCAACCUGCCUCUUAGUGGGGGAUAGCCCUGGGAAACCGGGAUUAAUACCGCAUAUCAUCGCAAGAUGAAAGCAGCAAUGCGCUAAGAGAGGGGCUCGCGGCCUAUUAGUUAGUUGGUGAGGUAACGGCUCACCAAGGCGAUGACGGGUAGCCGGUCUGAGAGGAUGUCCGGCCACACUGGAACUGAGACACGGUCCAGACACCUACGGGUGGCAGCAGUCGAGAAUCAUUCACAAUGGGGGAAACCCUGAUGGUGCGACGCCGCGUGGGGGAAGAAGGUCUUCGGAUUGUAAACCCCUGUCAUGUGGGAGCAAGCUAGCAAUAGUUGAUAGUACCACAAGAGGAAGAGACGGCUAACUCUGUGCCAGCAGCCGCGGUAAUACAGAGGUCUCAAGCGUUGUUCGGAAUCACUGGGCGUAAAGGGUACGUAGGCUGUACCAUAAGUCGGGCGUGAAA
rnacentral:rRNA from 1 species